rnacentral:misc_RNA from 1 species
GAAAUGCGAUAAGUAGUGUGAAUUGCAGAAUUUAGCGAAUCAUCGAAUCUUUGAACGCACAUUGCCCCCCUUGGUAUUCCAUGGGGCAUGCCUGUUCGAGCGUCAUUUCAACCCUCAAGCACUGCUUGGUGUUGGGCGUUUGUCCCGCCUACGCGCGUGGACUCGCCUCAAAGUCAUUGGCGGCUGUUCCCCUUCGGCUCGUAAGCGCAGCACAGUCGGCGCCCGGAGCUCUGGUGGGAUGGCGUCCAGCAAGCUAUAUUUUCAGGCUUGACCUCGGAUCAGGUAGGGAUACCCGCUGAACUUAAGC